CCCAGAUCCGGGGUAGUGAAACAGGGAUAAAAGUAUGUAUGAUAUGUAUGCAUAGUCCAGGCGAGCGAAGCCCCUCCGAAAGAAUGAUUAGUAACAGGGAAUCACAAGUAUUUUAUAACUUCGCAAAGUUAUUAUAUAUACUUGAUUUUCGUUACUGAAUUUAGUCUUCCGACCAGACAUGCCGCAUUUUAACACAGGGCAGACUCGCAAACAAGGCAACAAAUCGCAUGAACUGAUGAACCUCGUCAUACAUCCAUUAACAAAAUCGCGUAUUUGCGUAUAAAUUAUAGUAG